rnacentral:rRNA from 1 species
UACGGAGGGUGCAAGCGUUGUCCGGAAUCACUGGGCGUAAAGGGCGCGUAGGCGGCUCAUGAAGGCUGUGGUGAAAGUCCGGGGCUCAACCUCGGAUCGGCCGUGGCGACUCGUGGGCUGGAGCACUGUAGAGGCGGGUGGAAUUCCGGGUGUAGCGGUGGAAUGCGUAGAGAUCCGGAAGAACACCAGUGGCGAAGGCGGCCCGCUGGGCAGUGGCUGACGCUGAGACGCGAAAGCGUGGGGAGCAAACAGG